rnacentral:tRNA from 1 species
GCGCCUGUAGCUCAGGUGGAUAGAGCAGCUGCCUUCUAAGCAGCGGGUCGGGAGUUCGAAUCUCUCCAGGCGCG